rnacentral:rRNA from 1 species
AUUGAACGCUGGCGGCAGGCCUAACACAUGCAAGUCGAGCGAGCGGCGGACGGGUGAGUAAUGUCUGGGAAACUGCCUGAUGGAGGGGGAUAACUACUGGAAACGGUAGCUAAUACCGCAUACCAUCAGAUGUGCCCAGAUGGGAUUCGCUGGUAGGUGGGGUAACGGCUCACCUAGGCGCCGAUCCCUAGCUGGUCUGAGAGGAUGACCAGCCAAACUGGAACGGAACCACGUUCCAGACUCCUACGGGAGGAAGCAGGGGGGAAUAUUGCACAAUGGGCGCAAGCCUGAUGCAGCCAUGCCGCGUGUGUGAAGAAGGCCUUCGGGUUGUAAAGCACUUUCAGCGGGGAGGCGUUACCCGCAGAAGAAGCACCGGCUAACUCCGUGCCAGCCGCCGCGGUAAUAC